rnacentral:rRNA from 1 species
AUUGAACGCUGGCGGCAUGCUUUACACAUGCAAGUCGAACGGUAACAGGUCUUCGGAUGCUGACGAGUGGCGAACGGGUGAGUAAUGCAUCGGAACGUGCCCAGUCGUGGGGGAUAACGCAGCGAAAGCUGCGCUAAUACCGCAUACGAUCUAUGGAUGAAAGCGGGGGACCGUAAGGCCUCGCGCGAUUGGAGCGGCCGAUGUCAGAUUAGGUAGUUGGUGGGGUGAAGGCCCACCAAGCCAACGAUCUGUAGCUGGUCUGAGAGGACGACCAGCCAGACUGGGACGGAGACCCGGCCCAGACUCCUACGGGAGGCAGCAGUGGGGAAUUUUGGACAAGGGGCGCAAGCCUGAUCCAGCAAUGCCGCGUGCAGGAAGAAGGCCUUCGGGUUGUAAACUGCUUUUGUACGGAACGAAACGGCUCUCUCUAAUACAGAGGGCUAAUGACGGUACCGUAAGAAUAAGCACCGGCUAACUACGUGCCAGCAGCCGCCGUAA